CGUGAACCAGGACUCCUCUUGAGUUCUAGAGAAGACAGGAAGCAGAUGUGUGGGCAUGUGUGGGGUGGGGGAGUGGGGGUCUGUGAAGAAGCUCCAGUUGGAGCAUCUGCUUUGUAUCAAGAGGCCGCAGAGGAUGCCCUGUCUCAUGUGGUGAAGCCUGGAGUAGUGCUUCUUCACUUCACUCUGCAGGCAUCACCUGCAGGCUGCGAUUCAGGAGGUCUGGGGCAGGGCUGAAAGCUGCCUUUCCGGCGAGUGUCCAGAUGCCCUGCCUGGAUCACACAUUGAGUAGCAAGGCUGUGGGGGUGCCCUGGGGUGUGGUGGAUGGGGGUCUGUGCUGUGAGAGGAUAGAGAGACCCUUCAUCAGGCUAUUUCAGGGGCCUCAGUGGCCACGCUGGAGCUGUUGAGACCGAUGGCUGGAACAGAAGUAAAGACAGAUGGGAACCCGGAUGCACAAGGUGGGUGGUGCCACCGAGAGCCUGUCUGUGGAGCCCUGGACGUUCCGAAAUAUACAUCCUGAACUGAUGUGAGAGUGAUGGGAACUCUUUUAAUGCUCAUGUUCUUCUUUUUGGCUGUGAUUCUUUUCCAACCAAAAGUCAUACAGUGAAGCUAGUUGGCUUCUGUGUGACUCUCUGUUAUUUUAGUGAAUAGUAAUACUUUUGCCCUAAAAGGGUCAAUUUAUGAGUAUAAAGAACUUAUUGUUUGCUAGGGAGCAACUUGUGCAUACUGGCUAUCAAAUGGCCUGAAUUUUAGACCACUUGACUGUGUGUCUGUACCUAGGCUUUGAUUUCCAGAGCAUUGAUACUUCUGUAUUUUCUAUGCAAAUUUAUAUACACAUAUAUAUUCCAUAUAAAUGUUACAUAUACAUAAACAUCAAAGUCAUUAAAUCCCGGAAUCUUAGAGCCGAAUGGUAAAGAUUAGUCCAAUCCUCUUAUUUUUAUGUGAGCUAUUAAGGUAUUAAAAAAAUUUAAUGAGUUGGGCAUGCUUGUGUGUAGAAGUCUUACUGGUUGACUUAGGAUCUAAAGCACUAAGCUAGGCCACCUUAUCACAUUCUAUUAUGAAUAGGACAAAGAGGGCUACUUUUCUUUUGGGGAUAGAAAAGCAGCUUCAGGAUUAAUAUAGGGUUGACUUUUGUGUUUCCAUAGUCACCAUCUGUUGGUGGCAAGGCAUUCAGUCCCUGGGAAGAAUCAUCUUUUGCAUAAAUAUUUUGCACAGGCUGUGAUAUUGUAAUUUUUAAUAUUAAAAAAUCCUUACUAUUCAUUCUUGUAAUUACUUUUUCAUAAAACAUCUCUUACUUAUUAUAAAAACAAAAUCGUCCUUUACUUGUGUGCAGAAUGGGCAUUUGAAAGCGACAAGGGUUCUGCUGGCCCUGGUUACCCUGAGGUUGGUGUCCACUCGUGAAUGUCAGCUGCCUGGGGAGGGGACAUGACUCAGAACAAGGUCUGUCUUUUGAAUAGUUUGUCCCUAUUUACUGCCUUUCAGUGAUGGCAACAAAGCUUUUCAUGGUUGCAAACACAAUGUAAACUUGUUCUAAUAAAUGUAUGCAGUUCAACUAAGUGAAUAGUGAGAACUCCUGACUGUUUAGCUGGUGGAUAAGGGGGAGGGUGGGUGGAGGUAAGGAAGAAGAGCUCUCUGACAAUAGAUCUGUCAAUACCAAGGUCCAAAGACCCAAGCAGUUCAAUUCACUAAGUUCCUAACAGGCAGCAUAGGGUUUGUCAUAGAAAAGCAGGAAUGUUGGCCAGCGGAAGCAACCUGCUCAGUUACCGAGCACCCCUUGAUCCAGCAGAGCCUGAAGUUGCAUCUUUGACUAUGAAAACUAGCCUUCCCAGUGUUCUGUGACCCCAGCUGCAGCACAGUUCUAUCUCUUGCGUGUUAAGUGAGAUUCUCAGGCAGAUAUGAAUCAGUCCAGCAUGUCUGAGUACCACCCUGUGGAUGGCACUUUGGGAAUGCCCAGAAUUAAAGUUAUAGCUCUGUUCUCUAGCAUUGGUAGAAGGAUAAAGGCCAUAUCCCCACAUAUCCACCUACAAAACCACACAAAGAUAUGCGGGGCACCAUACAUGGUUUAUUGUCAAUAUAGAAAAGGAACACUGAGUUAAACAGCAGGUGAAAUCACUGUUGAUCUGAACAGGAAAUAUAUAUUUCUGCUCCCCAGAGCCUCCAUCUAAGAGGGAGGAAGACAGAGAGAAUAAUGAUGGUAAAGGCAGUGGAGGAAUUAGGCCAGGUGGGGCAGGUGGGAAAGUUUAGAGAGGUGUAUAAUACACACACAUGGGAUGGCUUCAUCUCAAACACACUGUGUUUUUUCCUGCCCCUGCCCCUUGCUCUCAAGGUUCUUCUUUGAGUCCCCCCUCAUCCUUUCGAGUUCAAAACCUGCACGAACUUCAAGUGCAACCUCCUGCUGCCUUCCCAAGAGUAUUCCUAGGCUAUCGCAAAUCUAACUAAAAGCUCUCCCAUCACUUUUCAAGCCAGUUUGUUGGGUAGUCUGUCCUCAUUGCUCCUGGGGAAGGCAGAACAGUGCAGGCACCCCACUGAAGCCAGGAUGGAGCAGAGUACUUUCUGUGGGUAGAUUCAUUCAUUCAGUGAUGCUUGUUGGAUGCCUAUUACCUGGUGUCAGGCACUGUUCUCAUGCUACAGGUGAUGAGCGAAAGAGAAAAGUAGCCACACCUUUGGAGCAGAGACCAUCGGGAAUACAGAUAGGAAAAUGGUAUUAUAGCACAGGGGAGAAAAUGCAAGGGUGGUAGAUGUGUGCAGAGUUCAAGAACAAGUAGGAGGGCCUAUUACCAGGUCCAAGUGUGUACUGCUCACUGCACAACAGACCAGCAAAUCAAGAGAUGGGGUGUUGGGACAAGGAAUAGCCACUUUAUUUGGAAAGCCAGCAGAUGGAGAAGAUGAUGGACUAGUGUCCCAAAGAACCAUAUACCCAAGUUAGAAUUCAGGCUUCUUUUAUACUAAAAGAGGGGAGAGUAUGGCUGGUUGUCUCAGACUUCUUGGUGCCAGAAUCCUUUGUUCUUGCAGCUGUCCAGGUAGGUCUGGUCACAAAGUUGCUGUAAUCAUCCAAUAAGACAAUUGCUAUUUUCUGUUCUGCAACAUGUUAUCUCUAUAUGAAUGGGAAAGUGUUAUCCCUUUAAAGAUCAGAGCCUUGAGAGUGGGCUAUUCUGUCUAUUUCAGGCUAUAGGCAACAUUCCUUUACAAGGGUGCAGAGCCAGCAUGACUAAACACAAGCAACAGAGCACAGGGGCUAGAGCUAAAGGAAUAGAUGCAAUAUGGAGUCAGGUUUGUUCUUCUCUGGUACAACCCAAACCAGACUGAUCAAGAAAGGAUUCCCAGAGGUACAUUUGAACUGAGUCUGGAAGAAGUAGGCAUUAAGUAUAAAUGAAGAAAUAUUCAUUCAGCAUUUAGAAAAUCUUGUCAGGCAUAAUACCCACAUUUCAUAUGCCUUUCCAAAUCAUUGUGUUAAGCCAUCUCAGUCCUCGGAAGCAUCAUCAUCAUUUUCUUAAGGAUCCACCUGCUCUCUAGAUGAUGCCCUACAGUGAAGAGGGCGAGGGUAUCCCAGAGUCUGUGACACGUUUCUUGGUUUAGUUACCAUUUAAAGAACUUUUUACAAAAGAGCGUAUAAGUGAUACAUGAUGAUUGGGGAUGAGAAAGGAAAAAAAAAUAAAAAUAAAAAACCACACACACCCAAAUCCUACCAGCCAGAGGUGGCAAUCACUUGUAACACUUUUGUCUCACAUCCGUCCAGAUGUUUUCCUGCAAGCUUGUCUUUUUUUUCCUUUAAUCUUUUUUUUAUUCUUUCAAAAAUAAGAUCCUACUAUUUGUGAUACAUCCUGAUCUAUAGCCUGCCUUUUGCAGGCCCUAUUUUGUGACCGUCUGGAUUAUUUCCUAGAGUAUAAGCUUUGCGGUGAAGUAAUUCUGAGUGCCUCACUCCACCUGCGGUUUGCUUUGUGAUUCCAAUAGACAUGCAGAGGAUCCAUUUUCAGAUUUUUUAUACUUACAUAGGCAGGGUUGGUCUUAGGGAUACUGGUGGUUUAAAGACAAAAAGGAGGGGAAGGAAGAGGAACUCUACCUUGAAGUGAUGUUUAAAGUACGUUUUCUGGGGCAUUUUACAUUAAAUGGUACAUAUCCCUAAUUGUUGGUUUUAUUUACCUAAAGGUUCCUGGGGAGACCAGCUGGCUUUAAGUUACAAGAUAUCAAAAGACUAAAGUUUGCAUGCCCUUCUAGGAUGACUUCAUUUGAAUUUCCCUUUUUUAACUAAGUUGAUAUUUUGCUAAUGAUGUAAUUAUUUAUUUAGGCUUUUAAAUGAUGCUGUGCAAAUACCUUAUGCAAUGCUUUCUUUCUUUUUCUUUUAAGCACCUUGUAUUUAUUUUUGUUAAGCCGGGAAACACACAUCACAGCUGGGAACAACUAAUGAGUGCAUUCAUUUUCUCUGAAGAUUCAUGAUUCAGUUUCACACUCUUGAAUACAGGUGACAAAUGGUGGGAGUGACAUGCCAGGUAGAGGCGAGAGCAGGGUGGAGUCCAGAGAGGCAGGGAAAGGGUCCUUGGGGCAGAGGUGGUCCCAGCUGUGCAGGAUUGCCAGAUAAAAUCUCCUCAUUUUUAAAAUAAUGGUGUUCAUAUAGUCUCAUUUUAAGUUUUGGGAAGAUAAAAUGAGAAACAGCCUUAACUUCCAACAACAAAAUACACAUUCAGGUUCAAGGUGGUAAUGAGAGAAACCCAAACAUGAUGCUCCUGGGAAUUUGUGAUGAUACCACAUUUCACGUGAGUCAAUGUGGCUUUGAGAAGUCUCUAUGUCCAGCGCAGUAUUAAAAAUCACAUCUGGAGUUCCCUUUAUGGCUCGGGGGUUAAGAACCCCACUAGUAUCCAUGAGGAGGUGGGUUCAGUGAGUGGGUUAAGGAUCCAGCGUUGCUGCAAGCUAUGGCAUAGGUCAAAGAUGCAGCUUGAAUCUGGUGUUGCUUCGGCUGUGGUGUAGGCCGGAAGCUGCAGCUCUGAUUUGACCCAUAGCCCAGGAACUUCCAUAUGCCACAGGUGUGGCCUUAAAAAGAAAAAAAAAAAGUUUUUAAUCACAUCUGGUUAUUUCUCCCUUCUGAACCAUUCAGGAACCUGUGAGGACUGACUAGUGCUGUCCCUGUGGGUACCACUUAUGCGCGGAGUACCACAAGUAACUAGGAAGCGUGGGAGAGACUGACCAUCACACUGGCUUUUAGUUUUGUCUAAGAAAAAUGUCAACUUGGAGUUCCCAUUGUGACUCAGUGGUUUAAGAACCCGACUAGCAUCCAUGAGAAUGUGGGUUUGAUCCCUGGCUUCACUCAGUGGGUUAAGGAUCUUGCAUUGCCGUGAGCUGUGGUGUAGGUCACAGAUGCAGCUUGGAUCUCGUGUUGCUGUAACCGUGGCAUAGGCCGGCAGCUGCAGCUUGGACUCGACCUCUAGCCUGGGAACCUCCAUAUGCUGCAGGUGCGGCCCUAAAAAAAAAAAAAAGAAAAAAAG
rnacentral:lncRNA from 1 species